rnacentral:tRNA from 4 species
GGAGAGGUGGGUGAGUGGCUGAAACCGCAUCCCUGCUAAGGAUGUGUACCGCAAGGUACCGAGGGUUCGAAUCCCUCCCUCUUCGCCA